rnacentral:tRNA from 1 species
GGGCCUAUAGUGUAGCCUGGUAUCACACGAGGUUUGGGACCUCGUAACCGCAGUUCGAAUCUGCGUAGGCCCG